rnacentral:rRNA from 1 species
AGUGAACGCUGGCGGUAGGCCUAACACAUGCAAGUCGGACGGCAGCACAGUAAGAGCUUGCUCUUACGGGUGGCGAGUGGCGGACGGGUGAGGAAUACAUCGGAAUCUACUUUUUCGCGGGGGAUAACGUAGGGAAACUUACGCUAAUACCGCAUACGACCUACGGGUGAAAGCAGGGGAUCUUCGGACCUUGCGCGAUUGAAUGAGCCGAUGUCGGAUUAGCUAGUUGGCGGGGUAAAGGCCCACCAAGGCGACGAUCCGUAGCUGGUCUGAGAGGAUGAUCAGCCACACUGGAACUGAGACACGGUCCAGACUCCUACGGGAGGCAGCAGUGGGGAAUAUUGGACAAUGGGCGCAAGCCUGAUCCAGCCAUACCGCGUGGGUGAAGAAGGCCUUCGGGUUGUAAAGCCCUUUUGUUGGGAAAGAAAAGCAGCAGGUUAAUACCCCGCUGUUCUGACGGUACCCAAAGAAUAAGCACCGGCUAACUUCGUG